rnacentral:rRNA from 1 species
ACGUGAGUAACCUGCCCUUAACUCUGGGAUAAGCCUGGGAAACUGGGUCUAAUACCGGAUAUGACUCCUCAUCGCAUGGUGGGGGGUGGAAAGCUUUUGUGGUUUUGGAUGGACUCGCGGCCUAUCAGCUUGUUGGUGAGGUAAUGGCUCACCAAGGCGACGACGGGUAGCCGGCCUGAGAGGGUGACCGGCCACACUGGGACUGAGACACGGCCCAGACUCCUACGGGAGGCAGCAGUGGGGAAUAUUGCACAAUGGGCGCAAGCCUGAUGCAGCGACGCCGCGUGAGGGAUGACGGCCUUCGGGUUGUAAACCUCUUUCAGUAGGGAAGAAGCGAAAGUGACGGUACCUGCAGAAGAAGCGCCGGCUAACUACGUGCCAGCAGCCGCGGUAAUACGUAGGGCGCAAGCGUUAUCCGGAAUUAUUGGGCGUAAAGAGCUCGUAGGCGGUUUGUCGCGUCUGCCGUGAAAGUCCGGGGCUCAACUCCGGAUCUGCGGUGGGUACGGGCAGACUAGAGUGAUGUAGGGGAGACUGGAAUUCCUGGUGUAGCGGUGAAAUGCGCAGAUAUCAGGAGGAACACCGAUGGCGAAGGCAGGUCUCUGGGCAUUAACUGACGCUGAG